GGGGGAAAAAAUUAAUAAAUAAAAAUAAUAAUAAAAAAAAUUUUAAAAUUAAAUAUUUUAAUGGGGGUUAAAGUAUUUUAAUAGAAAAAAUUUUUAUGUUUAUAGUUAAUUAGUAUUGUAAAAGAAUUUUGAAAUAAUUGAAAAUAAAAUUCUUAAAAAAGUAAAUUUAAUUUAUUGUAUCUUGUGUAUCAGAGUUUAUUAAAAAAUUUUUAAAUUUUUAAAUUUCUCGAAUUUAAAAGAGUUAAUUAAUUAAUAAAGUUAUUGUGGCAUAAAUAUUUUUAAUAAUUAAUUUGAAAUGAAAUGUUAAUCGUUUUUAAAUAUAUCUAGUUUUUUUAGAAAAAAAUUUAAUUUUUAAUUUAAUUAAAAAAUAAAAUAAAUAUUUAUUUUAUUUUUUAAUUAAAUUGAAUAAUUUAAGGGAUAAGCUUUAAAUUAAAAUUUUAUAAUGAUUAUUUAAAUUAAUUUAAGAAUUUUAUAAUUUAUAUUGUUAAUAAAUUUUAAUUUAUUAUAAAUAAUUUUAGAUAAAAUAAUUAAAAUUUAAUUUUAAAUUUAAAUUUUAUAAUAAAGAAAUUAUGAUAAAAUUAGUAAAUUAAAGAAAAAUAAAAAUUAAAUAUUUUAAAAAUAAGUAUUUUUAAGUAAUUCGGCAAAAAUUUAUAUUCACUUGUUUAUCAAAAACAUGUCUUUUUGAGAAUAAUUUAAAGUCUAAUCUGCCCACUGAUAUAUUAUUGAAGGGCUGCAGUAUUUUGACUGUACAAAGGUAGCAUAAUCAUUAGUCUCUUAAUUGGUGACUUGUAUGAAGGAUUGGAUGAGAUAUAAACUGUCUCAAAAAUAAUUAAUUGAAUUUAAUUUUUUAAUUAAAAAGUUAAAAUAUGUUAAAAAGACGAGAAGACCCUAUAGAGUUUUAUAUUAAAUAAUAUUUAAAUUAUUUAUAAAUUUCAUUAAUUAUAAAUUUUAUUUAAUAUUUUGUUGGGGUGAUAGAAAAAUAAAAAAAACUUUUUUUAAAAAUAGUCAUUAAUAAGUGAAUAAUUGAUCCAAUUUUAUUGAUUAUAAGAAAAAAUUACCUUAGGGAUAACAGCGUAAUUUUUUUUUUUAGUUCUUAUAAGAAGAAAAGUUUGCGACCUCGAUGUUGGAUUAAGAUAAAAUUUAAAUGCAAAAGUUUAAAAUUUUUGAUCUGUUCGAUCAUUAAAAUCUUACAUGAUCUGAGUUCAAACCGGUGUGAGCCAGGUUGGUUUCUAUCUUUUAAUAAUUUUAAUAUUUUAGUACGAAAGGAUCAAAUAUUAUAAUUAAAUUAUUUUUAUGAAUAUUAUUAAUAAAAAAUAAUAUUUUAUUGAUAUUAAUUAUAUAUAA
rnacentral:rRNA from 1 species